CGCCAGACGAUGGAGGCCUCCCUAGCGACCGAGUCUUUAAACCUAAAGACCCAGAGAGUGAAAUCAGAUGUUACAUUACGAAUAGUGCCCAUAGAAGAGUGAUUCUCAUUGCGAAACACCUGGGUAUUACGAGAGUCCCAGAGUUUCCAGAGAAUGGUGAGUGCCACCGUGUGCCAAAUGAUGAUGUCAAGGCCGAUCGGGGUGGCGGUGGUCCAGAUGAGGCCGAUGUCGGACGGCGGCUGAAGUUCGAGAAGAGCCCACACCUCGACUUCCCUAGGGCAAUGAAGUGCCAGGUGUGAGGCGUCUUCGAGCCGAUGAGCACACCUCGGGCAGCAGGAGUCGGGUGCGAUAGUCUUGCGGUGGAGGUGGGCCUUGGUGUUUAGCCUAUCCCUGAGAAGCAGCCAAGUCAAAAUCUUUGACCUUGAUGGUGGCCCUCGAGCUCCAGAUUUUUUCAAUGAUAGCUCUUGCUCCAAAAUACACUUUCAAAUAGGUGGUUGAGGCAGAGGUUGUUCUACUGUGGCACUGCACGCUGCAGUGCCGGGUUGCACAAGUUUUUUUUUUUUGUAUUCUUACUAUUCCACCACCCCAUUUCAAGUUGCUAUGAAUCUAGGCUUCUUCUCUUUUUGUUUACAUUAUAACUUAUAAGCUCUUUCGUCAUAUGUUGAUUACAAUGUUUAUGCAUGUGUAAGUGUAAGCAUUUGGAAGGAUGGCUUUAUUUUAAUUCUCAGGUGGGGAAUGCGAUGAUCUGAUGGUCAUCUCCUCAUAACUCAUAAGUAUCAUAUAGGACAUCAACUGAUAGGACUAAGUACUGUAUUGUACUUAUUUAUAUUUGUGUUCAGCCUGGCUUUCUUUUUUUCCUCAAUCGAGUGGUGCACUAGAGAGUUUUAUUGCUUGGUGUAGUCAGUUAAUUUCUUAGAUAGGUUCAUGCCCUUUGAUGGCUCUCAAAUAGUGUAUAUGUACUCUUGGAUAUUCAAUUUGUGUUGCCUACUCACAGAUGUAACUGGAAGUGUCAUGGUUAUUUCUAAUGCUCACUAUUUUCCUGGCUUCCAUGGGCUUUGAUGUAAAAUCAAAAAAUGGCUAUAUGACAACAUCCGUUUACCGAAGAAUACGUUAUUUGGGAGGGGCAAUAUGGAAGCAUCAGACCAAGUAUCAGGAAUCAUGUUGUCUGAUUAUCUUUUUAUUUUUCCUAUUUCUAUUAGCAAGAUGCUUCUUUGUCUCAAGUUAGUCCCCUGUUUAUUUGCUUUUGUUGGAGUGAGAAACUGUUGUGCUUGACUACAACUUGGCCCAUGAGAUUACUAUUUAAUGACAUUCUUGUGAGAUCCUUAUUCUCGUGCUUGUAUUAUUAUGGAUAUAGUGAAUUUA